AACGAACGCUAGCGGCGUGCCUAACACAUGCAAGUCGAGCGAGAAAGGGCUUCGGCCUCAGUAAAGCGGCGCACGGGUGAGUAACACGUGGGUAACGUACCCUCGGGUGGGGAAUAACGGGCCGAAAGGCUCGCUAAUACCGCAUAAGACCAAGACCUUCGCGGAGGUUGAGGCCAAAGGGGCGCAAGUCCCGCCUGAGGAUCGGCUCGCGGUCCAUUAGCUAGUUGGUAGGGUAAUGGCCUACCAAGGCGACGAUGGAUAGCUGGUCUGAGAGGACGAUCAGCCACACUGGAACUGAACCACGGUCCAGACUCCUACGGGAGGCAGCAGUGGGGAAUAUUGCGCAAUGGGCGAAAGCCUGACGCAGCAACGCCGCGUGAGUGAAGAAGGCCUUCGGGUUGUAAAGCUCUGUCAGAAGGAAAGAAUGGGUCGGAUAACCUCCGGCUUUGACGGUACCUUCGAAGGAAGCACUGGCUAACUCUGUGCCAGCAGCCGCGGUAA
rnacentral:rRNA from 1 species